rnacentral:lncRNA from 1 species
CUUGUGUUUAAUAAAAAUUAAUCAGAUCUCAACAAUUAAUUAUAUAUACAUAGCUCGUAGAGCUUACAUGAUAUUCCUUACUGGAUUACAAAAAUAAUAAAACUGUUUCUUUUUCUACAUACAAUAGAAAACGAAUUCCUUAACUUUCAGAAUGCAGCUUGUGUCCUUCCCAAAUACAGAUAAAUGACGAUUUUCCCCUUUUUCACUCUCGUGAUAAAAUCGAAGUAUUGCCAAAAUUCACAACUAGAAUUCGAACACAUUUAUUGUCCAGAGUCAUCUUUGGGUUUUUAUAGUUCGAUCGCAUAUCCAGAAACAUGUAAAAAUAUUGUUAAAAUCUAACCUGAUUCAAUGAAAUUGAACUGAGUGAAAUAAAUAUAAGGAAAAAUUGCUCUAACACUUCUAUUCGUCAAGAUCUUGUUUCUUUUGACUGGAUUCGUACAGUGUUUUUUUUUUUUUUAAUUUGAACACAUAUUUAUAAAAAAAACAUAUACAACAUACAACACAUUGGUAAUACAUG